AUUGAACGCUGGCGGCAGGCCUAACACAUGCACGUCGAACGAGUGGCGUACGGGUGAGUAAUGUCUGGGAAACUGCCUGAUGGAGGGGGAUAACUACUGGAAACGGUAGCUAAUACCGCAUCCCAUCAGAUGUGCCCAGAUGGGAUUAGCUAGUGGGUGGGGUAACGGCUCACCAAGGCGACGAUCCCUAGCUGGUCUGAGAGGAUGACCAGCCACACUGGAACGGGGACACGGUCCAGACUCCUACGGGAGGCAGCAGUGGGGAAUAUUGAACAAUGGGCGCAAGCCUGAUGCAGCCAUGCCGGGUGUAGGAAGAAGGCCUUCGGGUUGUAAAGUACUUUCAGCGGGGAGGCGUUACCCGCAGAAGAAACACCGGCUAACUCAGUGCCAGCAGCCGCGGUAAUAC
rnacentral:rRNA from 1 species